UGGGGAAUAUUGCACAAUGGGCGAAAGCCUGAUGCAGCAACGCCGCGUGAAGGAAGAAGGGUUUCGCUCGUAAACUUCUAUCAACAGGGACGAAAGAAUGACGGUACCUGAAUAAGAAGCCCCGGCUAACUACGUGCC
rnacentral:rRNA from 1 species